GUUGAACGCUGGCGGCAGGCCUAACACAUGCAAGUCGAGCGGAUGAAGUGAGCUUGCUCACGGAUUUAGCGGCGGACGGGUGAGUAGUGCCUAGGAAUCUGCCUGGUAGUGGGGGAUAACGUUUCGAAAGGGACGCUAAUACCGCAUACGUCCUACGGGAGAAAGCAGGGGACCUUCGGGCCUUGCGCUAUCAGAUGAGCCUAGGUCGGAUUAGCUAGUUGGUGAGGUAAUGGCUCACCAAGGCGACGAUCCGUAACUGGUCUGAGAGGAUGAUCAGUCACACUGGAACUGAGACACGGUCCAGAAUCCUACGGGAGGCAGCAGUGGGGAAUAUUGGACAAUGGGCGAAAGCCUGAUCCAGCCAUGCCGCGUGUGUGAAGAAGGUCUUCGGAUUGUAAAGCACUUUAAGUUGGGAGGAAGGGCAGUAAGCUAAUAUCUUGCUGUUUUGACGUUACCGACAGAAUAAGCACCGGCUAACUCUGUGCCAGCAGCCGCAGUAAGAC
rnacentral:rRNA from 1 species